AAGGAAGCUAAAUAGGAAAAUGAAGUUCUUCCAUAUGAAGCACUCUAUGUCCGUCUGAGUUGUGGUUAUCAUGGGUUCUGCUUCCACCCAAUAGGUGAAGUAGUUAGUUGCCACGAUCAUCAUGCGUCUACCCCAGUAGUAGGCGGCAUUGGCCUUACCAAGUCGAUUUCCCACUGCAUGAACAACCAAGAACUUGUCUGCAGGUGUAGUUUUUUGGCCAACAGUGCUAGCACCACCUUGUAGCAUUGGCAGUGGUCGUACUUUUGUACUAACUCUUUAGCAUCUUG
rnacentral:lncRNA from 1 species